UCGAGGAGCCAUGGCCAAGCAGCUCUGGGAAUGGGACAGGUAGGGUGGACAGACGCCUGAGAGCCCAGCCAGCUCAGGCCACCUCUGAGGCAGAGGCAGCAGUGGGGCUGGCCUGGUCUUACGGGCAGUCCUUCAGUGGUUUCACCGUGUUAGCCAGGAUGGUCUCGAUCUCCUGACCUUGUGAUCCGCCCGCCUCGGCCUCCCAAAGUGCUGGGAUUACAGGACACAACCAGAGAUGGAAUCCACAAGACACAGAACAAAAGGUGUACCAGAGCCAGGCUGGCAGUGACACUCGACAGGCCAGCCCAGCAGCCACCCAGUUUGUGACACUUUGUUACAGCAGCCACAAUAAACGAACAGAUUCUGGUAUCAGGAAGGGUGCUGCCGAAACCUAACACCAAGAACUGUGGCAGCAGCUUUGGAAGUGGGUGAUCGGAAGAGGCUGGAAGAACUGGUGAGGCCUGCGCGACUGUUGCUAGAAAGGCAUGAAGACAAGCCUGGAAAUGGCUGGAAGAGGAGAGCUGCCGCCGUCUUGGAGAAUACACACAGCAUCACAGACUGGAUGUCGGCAGCAAUGCCGACCCAACAGGUGCUUCCAGUGAGGUCUCAGAUGGAAAUGACUGUGCUACUGGGAACCGGAGGAGGCAGCAGAGAGCUUGGCUGGCUGCUGCUCUGCUGUUGGGUGCGAAGUGGGACCUGCAGCUGAUGAGCCUGGACAUCAAGCUGAGAUUUCCAAGCAGUGUGGAAGGUGCCACCUGGCUUCUCCUUGCUACUUAUAGCAGAAUGCAAGAGGGAAACAAUCAGUGAGGCAGGGACCAUUAAGCAAAAAGGCACCAGCCCUUGGGGAUGUGAAAAAUGCUGUAUCCAGGCAGCUCUGAGACGUGGCCAAGGGUGUGGCUGGACCAGGGUUUGCUAGACAUGAGGUGUGACCUGUGUAUCCAACUAACCACCUCAGCAGCAGACAGGGACAGGUGGGGCCUCCGGGAAAGGGCUGCAGACCCGCCUGUCUGAAGGCUUCGGCACUGGUGAGCUGCAUAAGCCAACAAGGUGUGAGAAUUUUACACCAGCAGAAGUGCUGCCGGGCUGGACUGAAAGGAAGGCAGGCUCCAAGAGCAGAGCCGCCGAGGCCGAGGAUGACGGGGCGGGGCUGCCCCUGCAGGCCGAGGACGGAGCAGAGGGCCAAAGAGGAUUCGCAGGCCUGGAAGUCAAGUGGAGUUUCGGCUGCUGGGUUUGGACUCGCUUGGGACCUGCCAACCUUUUUCCUCCCAGUUUUCCCUUUUGGGGUGGGAAUGUGUAUGCUUGUCUUACGGCUGAACUUUUGAAACAGAUCAUCUGUUGGCUGAUUUCACGGCGUCCCAGCUGGAGGACUGGCGCACACUCCAGCCUCAGCUGGACCUCGUUAAGAUGUAUUUACAUAGAGGAAUGGCGCACACUCCAGCCUCACCUGUACCUCGUUAAGAUGCAUUUAUAGGCUGAGAUGUGUGUGGAACUUUGUGUGGAUGGUAGUUAGAUCAGAUUUUGGACUUGGAAUUGAUGCUGAAAUGGUGAAGACUUUUGGGGACACUGGGGCUGUCACUUGCACAUGGGAGGGGCCCGCCACGGGGAAAAUUGUCAUGCACUGAAUUGUGCCCCUCGAAAAAUGACACAUGAACCCCUAACUCCCGGUGCCUCUGAUGGGAUCUUAUUUGGAAAUACGGUCAUUAAAGAUAUAAUUAAGAUGACGUCACCCUGGAAUAGAGAGAGUGUUCUUCUAAGAGGGAGAUAGGAACAGAGACACGGGGGAACAUCACGGGUGACGCGGCAGAGACCAGAGCGAGGCACCCACAGGCCCCAGAGCUCCUGGAGCCCCCAGAAGCUGGAAGAGGGGAGGAAGCAGCCU